UACGGGGGGGGCAAGCGUUGUUCGGAAUUACUGGGCGUAAAGGGCUCGUAGGUGGCCAACUAAGUCAGACGUGAAGUCCCCAGGCUCAACUUGGGAACUGCGUCUGAUACUGGAUGGCUUGAAUUCGGGAGAGGGAUGCAGAAUUCCAGGUGUAGCGGUGAAAUGCGUAGAUACCUGGAGGAAUACCGGUGGCGAAGGCGGCAUCCUGGACCGAGAUUGACACUGAUGAGCGAAAGCUAGGGGAGCAAACGGG
rnacentral:rRNA from 1 species